CGCGCGGUGGAGCAGUUGGCAGCUCGUUGGGCUCAUAACCCAAAGGUCACAGGUUCGAGUCCUGUCCGCGCUA
rnacentral:tRNA from 1 species